rnacentral:rRNA from 1 species
UACGAAGGGGGCUAGCGUUGUUCGGAAUUACUGGGCGCAAAGCGCACGUAGGCGGAUAUUUAAGUCAGGGGUGAAAUCCCAGAGCUCAACUCUGGAACUGCCUUUGAUACUGGGUAUCUUGAGUAUGGAAGAGGUAAGUGGAAUUGCGAGUGUAGAGGUGAAAUUCGUAGAUAUUCGCAGAAACACCAGUGGCGAAGGCGGCUUACUGGUCCAUAACUGACGCUGAGGUGCGAAAGCGUGGGGAGCAAACAGG